rnacentral:misc_RNA from 1 species
ACCACCACCACCACCACCACCGUGUCUGAAGCUUCCAUCUCUCCAGAUAGAGCCCUUACACGAAAAACAAGUGUGUUGGUUGAAAAACGCAGAAGUUCCUAGCAAUAUAGCUUUGUGUUUGGUUUGAAAGAGAGUUGCAGAGCCCAAGAGAGAAAAAGAAACUUUAGACCCAACAUUGACAGGGCAAGUAUGGAAGACACUCCAGUAAUCAAAGCUCAUGAUGAAACCAAAGCAACAGUCCUUUCACCAAACUAAAAUCUUCUACAGCAAAGAUUUCCAAAACCUAAAAAGAAAAGAAAGUUUCUUUUGCUUUCUAAAAGCAUUUUACUUUCCCUUUCGUCUCCAAAUCAAGAAGAGCAACGCUUGAUCUACCAGAGAGGGAGAGCUAAGAUCAGGAAAAUGGGUUGCUGUUAUUCAAGAUUAGAGAGAGAAGAAAUGGUUUCCAGAUGCAAGGCAAGAAAAAGGUACAUGAAGCAGUUGGUUAAUGCUAGGCAAGCGGUCUCUGCUUCACACGCCAUGUACCUUCGUUCACUGCGUGCUACUGGUUCAGCGAUUCUUCAGUUCUCCAGCACAGAAGCCAAUCUCCACCUCCAUCAACACCGCCACCACCAACAUCAUAUCCCACCUGUCUUACCCUCACCACCUCCUUUACCACCCACACCGCCGCCACCUCCACCAAUGAGCCCCAGCUCCGACACAUGGACGUCCAUAACCGCCUCUCCAGGUCUUCCCCCUCCUCCUCCGCCACCACCGCCUCAGUCUUCAAGCUGGGACUUCUGGGAUCCUUUUGUCCCGCCCCCUCCUAUGACGUCACGGUCAGUAACUGAGGAGGAGUGGGAAGAGGUGACAACCACGACGGCGUCUGAAGUGGCGGUCACGGCGACAGGGACGGCAGCCAGCCUAACGGCCCCGCCAUCGGUAAUUAGUGGGUUCUCGAAGGAAAAUGGUAGUGGGAGCGGGAGUGAGCUUGCUAUGGUGGUUUCGAGGAAUAGCAAGGAUCUGGUGGAGAUUGCGAAGGAAGUUGAUGAAUAUUUUCUCAAGGCUGCUGAUGCUGGUAGACAGCUUUCUUUGCUUUUAGAAGUUCCAAACCCUAACUUCUCUGCUCAAAACAAAGGAGGUAAAGUUUAUGACCAUGGAUGCAAUUUGACAAAUCCAUCAUUAUGGACAUGGGGUUCAAGUCCAAAAAUGAAUGGGUUUGGAAAGAUGGGGGAGGAAAUGGUUGGAAACUCUUUAGGAAUUAGCCACUGUUCCAUUGUAGAGAGGCUGUAUGCCUGGGAGAAGAAAUUAUUCCAGGAGGUCAAGAAUGCUGAGAGCAUAAAAGUUGAGCAUGAGAAGAAGGUGGCAUUGCUGAGGAAGCUAGAAGUAAAGAGGGCUGACUAUGUAAAGACUGAGAAGACAAAGAAAGAGGUGGAAAAAUUGGAGUCACUAAUGAUGGUUGCUACACAGGCCAUUGAGACUACGUCUGCUGAAAUCAUCAAAUUGAGGGAGACACAGCUCUACCCUCAACUUCUUGAGCUUGUAAAAGGGUUAGUCGGUAGUCUUCUUAAUUUCUUGUACUUGCUUUCUGUAAUUGAUCCUACUGGGUACUUGCAUUUUAGGGACACAUUAAUUAGUGGACAAAUUGAUAUGGACCACUCCAAGCCACACUCUUGGAUUGCCUUGUAGUGCAUUUUAGCCGUUGCAAAGAUUCUAAGGGACAGCAGUGUUUUCUGCAAUUGCCAAUUGGCAUUUGGUAGUUGUUGUUUCAGCAGUGAGUACCGAGUGGAGACCAAAGGAAAAUUUCUUGAGAGAAGAGAGAGAAAGAGAGAGCGUUAAAAUAUGGAUUUUUUUUUGGGACCUGAAGGAUUUGCCCUGGUGUAUAUGUUACUGUACAGAAGAUUGCUUUUGACUGCUUUUUAGUUUUUUAUUGGCUUGUUUUUCACUGCCUUUGUUUGCUUUUAGUUCAAAGAUUACAGUGACCCAACUGUUCUAUGUACGAUCAUUUGAGGGCUAUGGCUUCAGUUUAGUCCAGUGAAUCUUUCUUUGCCUUCAUACUUGAACUUUUGUUGGUCCAUUGUCUUCCUCAAGGAGACAAUCUUGUGGCUAUACGUACCAUAUUUUGAGUGGGGUCACCAGAGUCAAAUCUUGGCUAUAAGGUGAUUGCAAUAUCAGGAAAAUUUUAUUUCUAUCAUUUAACUUAGGAAAUUAUAAAGCAUGUUUAUUUCUAAAUUGGGAGAAAUUAUUCCAUGCAAGACUUGAGGGAUAUGUGCAGUCGUUGCUUCUUAUUUGCUGCUUCUACUUCCACCUCGCAGAUUGAUGUGCAUGUGGAGAAGCAUGUACGAGGCUCAUCAGGUUCAAACGCACAUAGUUCAGCAGCUCAAAUACCUGAACACCAUCCCGUCUACCGAACCCACAUCUGAGAUUCACAGACAAUCCACUCUCCAGCUGGAACUUGAAGUUCAGCAAUGGCACCAGUCCUUCUGCAACCUAGUGAAGGCACAGCAGGAUUACAUCCAGUCCCUAACGGGCUGGCUCCGGCUUAGUCUUUUCCAGUUCAGCACAAACCCACUUUCCAGAACCAAUCAAGAAUCUCGAAUUUACACUAUUUGUGAGGAAUGGCACCAUGCGAUUGAUCGGAUUCCAGACAAAGUAGCGUCUGAAGGAAUUAAGAGCUUUUUAACAGUUAUUCAUGCCAUAGUUGUUCAACAAGCAGAAGAGCAUAAGCAAAAGAAGAGGUCAGAUACAGCAUUCAAGGAGUUUGAGAAGAAGGCUGCUGAACUUAGAUCACUGGAAAGCAAGUAUGGCCCAUACUCAAUGCUUGAAACAACUGGCAACACAAGAAGCAAGGAUCCAGUAGCAGAGAAGCGAGCUAAGGUUGAGAUUUUGAGAGCAAAAGCAGAGGAGGAGAAAAGUAAGCAUGAAAAAUCGGUGAGCAUAACGAGAGCAAUGACCCUGAAUAAUCUGCAAAUGGGAUUCCCACAUGUCUUUCAGGCGAUAGUGGGAUUUUCAAGUGUAUGUAUGCAUGCAUUCGAGUCUGUAUACAACCAAGCGAAAAAUACGCAACAGGGAGAUGAUGUGAAGAGAAUAUUACCCUAAGAGGAGAUCUAGAUUUGGCUGAAAGAGGGUUUUCUGUAUAUAUAUAGAUAGCAUCUCAUUCUGUAGCUGGAUUGAAUCAUGCAGAAGUGUUGCAGGAACCUCCUAGGUUCAAUUUGGAAAUUAUGUCGGUAUGGAGCAACAAUAGUGGGGGCACAUAGAAGAAUUGAUAGCACUUUGGCAGUGUGAUGGUGGGGGGCACAUAGAAGAAUUGAUAGCAC